AUGGCUUUGAUGACUCCUCAACCGAUUCAUGGCUGUCGAGUGAUGGUGGAAGUGAGAAUGCUAAGCCCUGUCAGGUCCCUUCUCCAAUCCGAAAGGGCAGAGAUGAUAGACCGAAGAACAACUUCCCAAGACCAACUUUUUCCUAAUUUGGUAGAAGUCGCCACUGACUUUGUGAACCAAAGUAGCUAUGCUGCGGAUUCAAGACGCUGUACCAGUGUCAUUCGUGCAUGUAGCACAUCCAUACCAGCUUUAAGGGAACAUCUUCAGAAGGAAAUCCCAGGCCUCUCCAUCAGCAACACUACUUGUGCCUGGCUGAUGAUGCCCCCAAACAAGAAAAGGCUAUCCAGCCAAUUCUAUAAAGGCCUGAUACAGGCCAAAGUACUGGCGAAGAAGAACAACAAAAAGGACAAGCACAUCAAUUCUGAAUAUAGAAUGGAGUUUGCUGCAGAAUUUGCGCCAAGGAGAUCGCCAUUUUUUUAUGUGACUGUAUGAACAAGAUUCAUGUCGGUGGAUUGGCUGUGAGCAGGUAUCAUCAAAUCAAUUGGAUUCAUGUGAUCGAUGAUUCCCAAAACUACCCCGACCACGAUUUUCUGCAAGGCAACGGCUUUCUCAACACCUCGUGUGGCUACAUGCAGCUGGAAAAGGUGGCCAAUUCCCCGGCAACAUGCUCUGAUGAAUUCGGCCUUCAACAUUUGACCAGCCCUAGAACCGGCCCAUUGCGCAUAGUGAACAGAGUCCCGAAGUUCAAGAAGACGUCCAUACAAGAGCAUGUGAACUACCUCAUCCCAAUCAUCGAAAAGUGUACACAAAACAAUAAGACGGCAAUCGUCCUGCUUGUCGAUGGGGGUCCUGACUGGAGGGACGCGUCGUGAACCGUUCUUUUGUCUCUCUCCAGAUUAUUCCUAUGGCUAAACUUGGACUUUAUAUCUUUCACUAGAUAUGCCUCGAAAAACUCCGCCCUCAAUCCCAUAGAACACGGUUGGUCGCCCCUAAGUAAAAUGUUGACUUCGGUAUGCCUUCCCUGCAGUCUCGAGGAUGAUACAGAAUCUUAAAGUCAGAAUCUCACACCAGCUGAGUGACGGGCAAAGGAAGUCCAUGUCCUUGCAAUGGCAUGAAGGAAGUAAACAACUAUUGGGAUGGUCAGUUUUUUGCCGGCCAUAAAAUACAGUCUUCUCACAUCCGUGCCUUGCCCCUAGUUCACCCAUCAAUGACUAUGACAAAGUUCAUCCUCUCAUGUCAUCAGGAUCAAAGACCAGAGUUCAAGAAAUCUGGUUUGCCGUGGAACACGUCCAGAGACGACCUCGAGAACUGUCGAUCAUAAAGUGCACAAAGCAGUGGUGUACAUUCUGCCAGGUGCACCCGGUAUGGGCUGUCCAAGCAAUGGCUGAAAUUCAGGCAAACAGGUAUCAAUCUGCUUCCUACGCCGUCAACGGAUUUCCCGGGUCAUUACAAAACCUAUCUGGAAUUGCGAGCCUCAGAUGGAGUUCGAAAGGGAGAAGAUACGUCAUCAUUUGUUGCUAAGAACCUGGGACAAUGUCUUUAAUGCCCUUGCUACAUGUUCUCCUCUAAAGAAGACCGGAAAUGCCACCUCAGCAUUAUCAACCAGUGACACUAGAAAUAUGUACAAAAUUUUGCAUUCUGAGGUGAUCAUUUGGACAAUCUCUGACCAAGUCUUUAAAGACAGUCAGUCUGUACUCUUCAUCAAAGACGUUUUUCAUCUAAAGAAAUUAACAACUGUACAUGGGUCCAUUUUUGCAAGGGUAUGCUUUCAGGCCUCAAUAGCGAAAAGAUAUUCCCCUGGGAAACUGAAUUAUUGUUUGGCUGUAAAUAAUUCCAAUCUUGCAGGUGAUUUUUUGAAAACUAAAGUGCAGUGGGAUUGAUUUUCCCUUCACUUUGUCACUCAAACGUCAGAUGCUUUUGUACUGCUAGAAAAAUAGCAACUAAAAAAAUUGAUCAGGCCAAGGGGCAAAAAAUCUGCUACCAAAACUUUAACAAAUGAAAAUCAAAGUGAACUGUCAUAGGUUCCCACAUGAAACUACUAGUUCCUUUUCUUGAUAAUGAAUAAGAUCAAAAGGUAAAACUUGAAAGAGAGCUUCAAAUUUGCCUUUGAACAUAUUUUAGUGCCCUGACACUCAAGAAGAAACACGUUUUAAAGUUUGUUGAAUUGAACAUAUCUCAAGUAAAAAUGACUAGUCAUCAACUUUUUCUACAGAAACACAAAUUGUCACAUACUCAAUUGUCUAUUUGUGAUAUUGGCUUUAUUUGUAUUGUCUUUUUACAAUAUGUUCGAUGUAACGUAUUUCAAAUCCGUCUGCAGCUAUUUCAUUUUUUUCUUAAGCGUAAUGAUUCUUGCAGUAUUUUGCACAAUCAAUUUAAUAUCAGCUUGUAUCAUUGGAAAUAAAUAAUUGAAAUAACCGAAAUUGUAAUUUUCCUUUGUCUGUCUCCCAUGUAUUGCUUUCAGUUGGGGUUAAUGAAAGCUCGGGGAGAAAUCAAGCAGAUGACAGUGACCAAGUUAAAACAUAGAAUAGCAGAACAGGAUGCAAAGAUACAGCAGCUGGAAAAAAAGGUAUGUCAUCUUAGUGGAUUAGAGCAAAAAAGGAAGAGCAAGGAGAGCUUUGAAGUAUCCAGUUGCUAGUGUGUUUACUGAAUCUUUCCUGAGACUUAACAAUUUCCUACCGGGGUGCCUGGUUUUGGGCACAUAAGCUUUAUACAUGAAGCCAGGGAGCCCGAAACCAGACAAAAUAGCUGGACCUUGUAACAUAAAAGACUGCACUUGGAAACAAAAGACCAAGCUGCUGAGAAUUGCUAACUUUUUUCAGUUGUCAAAAGUGGAGGAAAUCCAUCAUUGAUUUGAAAUAUUAUAAAACUGUUUAAUUUGUGGCAUUCAGUGCCAGCAAAUUACCACCAUGGACAAAUGCUCUAGUGCACAGUUAUGAGUGACACAAUACCUUGCAUGCUAAUCUGGCCCCCAUUGAAAAAACCGCCAGCCGCACACUGUGCCAGUUUCAGGAACCAAGAAACUUAU
rnacentral:lncRNA from 1 species